ACGCUGGCGGCAGGCCUAACACAUGCAAGUCGAGCGGCAGCGGGAAGUAGUUUACUACUUUGCCGGCGAGCGGCGGACGGGUGAGUAAUGUCUGGGGAUCUGCCUGAUGGAGGGGGAUAACUACUGGAAACGGUAGCUAAUACCGCAUGACCUCGCAAGAGCAAAGUGGGGGACCUUAGGGCCUCACGCCAUCGGAUGAACCCAGAUGGGAUUAGCUAGUAGGUGGGGUAAUGGCUCACCUAGGCGACGAUCCCUAGCUGGUCUGAGAGGAUGACCAGCCACACUGGAACUGAGACACGGUCCAGACUCCUACGGGAGGCAGCAGUGGGGAAUAUUGCACAAUGGGCGCAAGCCUGAUGCAGCCAUGCC
rnacentral:rRNA from 2 species